rnacentral:rRNA from 1 species
CCUACGGGUGGCAGCAGUGAGGAAUAUUGGUCAAUGGACGCGAGUCUGAACCAGCCAAGUCGCGUGAAGGAUGACGGCCCUAUGGAUUGUAAACUUCUUUUAUAUGGGAAUAAAGUGUUCCACGUGUCGUAUUUUGUAUGUACCAUAUGAAUAAGGAUCGGCUAACUCCGUGCCAGCAGCCGCGGUAAUACGGAGGAUCCGAGCGUUAUCCGGAUUUAUUGGGUUUAAAGGGAGCGUAGGUGGAUUUUUAAGUCAGUUGUGAAAGUUUGAGGCUCAACCGUAGAAUUGCAGUUGAAACUGGCAGUCUUGAGUAUAUUAGAGGUGGGCGGAAUUCGUGGUGUAGCGGUGAAAUGCUUAGAUAUCACGAAGAACUCCGAUUGCGAAGGCAGCUUACUGGACUGCAACUGACACUGAGGCUCGAAAGUGUGGGUAUCAAACAGGAUUAGAUACCCCUGUAGUC